UCGUUAAGUCAUGACGUGACAGACAAAGUGUCAUGUCAUCAUGCCUUGUCACAAACAUCUCAUUGUCUCAUCAUCACCUUCAAUGACAUGGCAAUGACAUGUAUGUGACAAGACGUGAUGACGUGACACUUCAUCUGUCACAUCAUCGUUUAAUGGAA
rfam:Glycine max cultivar Williams 82 chromosome 4, whole genome shotgun sequence.